UUUUAACUACUGAAAAAAAACGUUUAAUAUUGCCGAAUUCAAAAACCAAUCAGUCUCACGCAAAUCCAGUCUUAAUACAUAGAAAGAGUCUUAAACAGGGAAGCAUUGAACAUAAACAGAGUACCAUUGGAACCCUAAACACACCACCAAUACUACAUCUACUUUAUUUAUAUUAUUUACUUUAAAAUGAAAGCUGGCGCUGGUUCUGAUGGUGGCUCACCAGGUCAUCCAG
rnacentral:misc_RNA from 1 species